rnacentral:rRNA from 1 species
AUUGAACGCUGGCGGCAGGCCUAACACAUGCAAGUCGAACGAGUGGCGGACGGGUGAGUAAUGUCUGGGAAACUGCCCGUUGGAGGGGGAUAACUACUGGAAACGGUAGCUAAUACCGCAUACCAUCGGAUGUGCCCAGAUGGGAUUAGCUAUUAGGUGGGGUAACGGCUCACCUAGGCGACGAUCCCUAGCGGGUCUGCGAGGAUGACCGGCCACACUGGACCUGUGACACGGUCAAGACUCCUACGGACGGAAGCAGUGGGAAAUAUUGCACAAUGGGCGCAGGCCUGAUGCAGCCAUGCCGCGUGUAUGAAGAAGGCCUUCGGGUUGUAAAGUACUUUCAGCGAGGAGGCGUUACUCACAGAAGAAGCACCGGCUAACUCCGUGCCAGCCGCCGCGGUAAUUC